GCAGAAGGAAAAGAGGACACACAUAUCCACCAUGGGCCUCUUCGUCCAUCUCACGUGAUUCCCGGCAUCUCUCCUUGCGGUUACUGAUGGCCACACGAACAAAUGCUAGAUGCAGAGUUGCUGGAUCAGAAGAUAGGCAUUUGAAAAUAACCAAAAAUGUUAAGA